UCAGUUGGGUACCGGUGCUCACCUCGUUUAUCUAACCUAAACACCGGGAUUAAUCGCAUAAAUUCCCGUGGUUGUCAGAAAUUCUAUUUAUCGAGCGGUGGGCGUUAUCCUGGUCCCGACAUAAAUACGUUCUUUUAUUUCCCCGGAGAGAUCCGGAGAGGAUGCUGGGACGCUAUUCGAAAACUGUAGUCCUCUCACGAUCAAACCAGUUCUCCGAGUUGAGGUGAUCACCGGCUGCCUCAGAUUAAUCCCUUCCCCCUUGUCAUUCCCAGCCCCUCGUCCACCAUUCUGGGAACUGAUGACAUGCCUACGGCCAGACGAUGCCACUCCACCUUUUUCCUCAUGUGCUUUCCACCUCCUUUGCCUGCCAGAUCCUUACGUACAUUCACGUAGAUUAACUUUUGAUACGAGACCUCCUCAGUCUACGCUGAGACCUCGAUUCGUACGCGCGAGCUGGGACACGUUGUACGCUUUCGGGUAUCAAAUUUCUAUUAGUGACAGCGAAUUACUUUAGUCUACAGUGUAAGUUUUGGAGCGAGACAGAGUACUCGCGCAGCUGCAAAGUCGACGAACAAGUAGCCAGCCAGAGAACAAAAGAUCGGCCCAGCACUGGUGCGCCAACAGGGGGGAAAAUAAACGAGCAAACGAUCUAGAGAAGUGCACAGCGGUAUUAUUAACUAAAGAUGCGUUUGCUGCUAGCGAUCGUAGUUCUAAGUUUCUGGAUUUCGUGCGUUCGUGCCUAUCCUGCGAACGGUAUGAUCAAGAAUAAUCUGAAUCGGGACUCCAUCUACUUUCCCGACCAAGCAGAAUACCUACGGCAUUCCAUGAAAUGUUCUAAGAACGAGAUUUUGUGGCCAUUUUAUGGAUAUAUUCGUCGGUGUUACAGAGAAGGUGAACAAGGUCCCUGCAAUAUCGGCAGAAUUUUGGUCUUUGAUAAGAAACACUUGAAACCUGUUUGCAAAGAGACGACAUUGAAAUAAACAACCGAGGGUUACAGAUACUGCUCUUACCGAUUCGACGGAAUUCUAUCAAAGAUGUCAGCAUGAAUACAGUAGUUGCGCUUCAUAUACUUGGAAUAUUCGAGUUUAUAAUUCUGUUUUUUUGGUAUAGAGUUACGAUAACUCAUUUUACAUAUUCACAUUUUGUAUUUGUAUUCAUACUAUAUAUUGUAUAUUUAUAAUAUAUAUACAAUAUAAUAAACAAAAUGAUUUAACUUCAUUCAAUUUUAACUCUUAUUUCAUUUAUAAAGAGAAAGUAACUUUGUGAUAUGUCUGACUGCAUAGUAUACUGGACUAAUUUAAUAUGAUACGUCAAUAUGGAAUGUUUGGCAAUAUGUAAAAUUCAACAUAUUUGCAGAAUUAUAAAUUAUUUCAGAAAUUCUAACAUCGAUUGAUUUGUCACAUAACUUCAGUAAUUUAUUUACGUAGUUGGAUAUAUUCAUGUACGUGUAACUUACUCCUUCAUUUGUUCAUAUGUAUAUUUAAUAUUUUCCAUGGUUCUAUAGUAGUAUCUCUUUUGUACUGUAUCAAUAAUAAAACGUUGAAAAAUAAAAUUUGUUGUGAAUUAAAUUCGCCACCAAUUUCGUUUUCAAAUUAAUAACGAUUAAUAGCGAAAUAAAGAAUAUGCCAAACAAUUGGAAUAAUUUAAUUAGUAUUAUAACAAAGGAACUCCUACGUUAUUCCCCUAUUUUAGCGAAAUAUUUGUAUUUUUUGUUUUUGUUAUAAAACUAUAUUCAUGGUAAAGGAAUUAUAAAAAAGUACAAAAAGGAAGAAAUACAAAAAUAUAAUGAAAUUAAACAGUUGGGUAAAAUAUUAGUCGGUUAUUUCGUUUUUGUGAAAAAAUUAAAUGAUACAGAGAUAUAUUUGAUAACAAACGACAACGGUAUAUUUUUUAUCUUUUUCUGAUCAAUUUUCAUUCAAUCCAUCAAAGUACAUCGAAUACACGUUCGACCUGGAUACACGGAUGGAGAAUCCAAAAAACCUUUAAUAAGAAAAACUUGGUUCGAUACUUACCUGUCUAUUCUUUGUUUACCCUUUUGUAAAAUUAUAUUCAAAUUAUCAGAUGUUUGUAUCUUGUCAACCUUAUUUGAAAACAAUAGGAGCAAAUAGCUAAGUUCAUACAAAAAAUCAAAAUUUAUUUGAUUAGACAAAAAAAGAUUCGGCUUCUUAUUUUUAUAAAAAUAAUAAUUUACAAAUAUAGUAAUGUGUAGUGUUUUAGAAGAUGCUCUAUUAUAGUGUGAUAUAAAUUGUACAUUUUUAUAUAAUUGGAGUUAUUAUAAUAUCAUAGUUAUGUUUGGAAAAAUAUUUACAAGUUUUAGUAAUUUUUAAUGUAUAUUCGAACAAAUCUAUAUAUUUACCGGUGUUUUCACUAUUUCAAUCAUUUUUGCUACAUUGGAAAGCUGCCAUUUGCCAUUAACGUAUCCGUAUGCAAAAAAUUAUUACAGGAUAUCCCUCAUUAGUAUCCAUCUUUUUCAAUGAAUGCAUAUUAAAAAAUUCUAUAUUGUUACAUUCUUGUCAUUUAUCAUGAGAUAAUCAACCGUAGAUAAUCAUAAUACUUCCUGAAAUAUGCUCGAGUUGAUCUAAAUGCAUCAAAAUGUUACAAAUUAACUUAUAAAUGUAAUUUUCUUUCUUGAAAUGUAUUGUUUUAACAUAACAUUAAAAAUAAUGGAAUAUAGAAUAUAAACUAUUUGAACCAAUUAAACAAUUGCCCUUUCAGUAUUUGUCAAACGAAUCAUAUAGAUCAUAUAUAUUAGACCAGACAUUUUGUGCAAGAGUUAAUUGGCUACAUUUAAUAGUAUACUUAAACUAUCACUAUCAGCGUGCACUUAAAUUAUUACCUGAUACAUUACUAUACAUAACUUACAUCUUAUUUCAAAUAUACGUUGUUUACAAUUUCCACCUUGAUUAACUACUUCCUAACAAUCUUUUCUUCACUGGAAAAACUAAUUUUUUAAUAUUUCCAAUACUUCUGUAUACGUAUGCAAAUAAAUAUGUUUUUUCAGUUGACGCUCAUUCUUUAAAAUUUCUUUUCUUCAUUUCCUUGUUUUCGCGAUGCAUACGUGCUUCGAAUCGCAAGUUGUCUACGAUUCACUCUAUUUUAAGAAUGAUUGCAACCGGAUAAUAGGCACGAUAAUCUCAUCGGGCUUUCGAUCUUGAGUGUGGUACGCGUACAAACAAGAUACAAUCGAGUUUACUCUGCAGAAUCCCCUAGCGCACUUCUCUAUUGAGAGACACCAAUACCCACGGUGUAAUAUAGCCUGAUCGAAAUGUACUUUCUUCCCUGGCAUUGGUAAUUGCUUGCUUACGGCAACUACAUAUUUCUAACUGCGUUUCUCUAAUUAUUGAGUAAUUCGGGAAAGUAAAUCAGGGAUUCCAUGUCUGCAAACCAUAUGAUAUCUCGUAUACAUUAUAUACUAUUUCAUUGAAUGACAAUAAAGAAACGGAAGAUGAAGUAGUAUCAGUAGGAAGUAACUAAAAGUAUAUAUAUAUACAUCCUACAGUAUUAGGUAAUGAAGUUUAACAAUUUGAUCGCAUUUAUCGAAACAACAGUAUAUUCCCAUUCCAAUCUUGUUACGAUAUUUAUGACAUUCUUAUACAAAAUAACGUGAACAAUUGAUUAAAAAGAAUUCGUUUUCUUAAAGUAUAUAUAAAAAGAAUAUAUAUAAAGUAUAUAUAAAAUAUAUAUAAGGAACCUAGAACCUAUACCUAGAGACAGAACUAAUUUAAAUAUCAUUUUAUAUUUAAUUAUCAUAAUAUAUUGUUGGUAAUAAUUUAUAUUUAAUAAGGAAGCAGAGAAACGAACUUAUUGCUACUAUUUAUAAAACGCUCCAAAAUUAGUCCUUUGCGUGCACAAUGUAGUUAAUGUUUCUGGAAAUGUCAAAUAUUCCUCCAAGUGUCUAUCUUUUUCUUAAAAUAAAUUAUCUGGUUCGCUUUAGAAUGAAA